ACGGGGUGCAGCAGGCGCGAAAACUUCGCAAUGUGCGAAAGCACGACGAGGGAAUCCCAAGUGCUGGCUCUUUUGAGUCAGCUGUUUUUAUGUCUAAAAAGCAUAGAGAGUAAGAGCUGGGUAAGACGGGUGCCAGCCGCCGCGGUAAUACCUGCAGCUCAAGUGGUGGCCGCUAUUAUUGGGCCUAAAACGUCCGUAGCCGGUUUAUUAAAUGCCUAGGUAAAUUGUGUGGCUUAACCAUACGAAUUCUGGGUAGACUGGUAAACUUGAGACCGGGAGAAGCUAGAGGUACUCCUGGGGUAGAGGUGAAAUUCUGUAAUCCUAGGGGGACCACCAGUGGCGAAGGCGUCUAGCUAGAACGGGUUUGACGGUGAGGGACGAAGCCCUGGGGCGCAAACGGGAUUAGAUACCCCGGUAGUCCAGGGUGUAAACGCUGCUUGCUUGAUGUUGGUUGGGCUCCGAGCCCAAUCAGUGUCGGAGAGAAGUUGUUAAGCAAGCUGCCUGGGAAGUACGAUCGCAAGACUGAAACUUAAAGGAAUUGGCGGGGGAGCAC
rnacentral:rRNA from 1 species